AUGGUGUUAACAACAAACCGUAGCCCUAAUUUCAAACGGUUACUAAAAUUGCAAUCAAUGAUCGAUGCUAUAAAUUGGUUCGAUUAACAUGGAAUACGGGUUGGUUGUGAGGGUCGGAAGAAUUAGGAAAAGAGACGAAAUCGAAGAUCGAAUUAGAAGGUCUGAUUCUGUUCUAAAAUCCGCUCCAACAACGGAAAGGCUUCGGUCGUGAAGUUCGAAUUCGUAACAUCAGUGCGUUUAUGCAUAACGAAAAGGUGCCAUAAACCAUAUCGCACAUCAAAUCGUUUUGUUUUAGAAGCGUAUCGUCGAAUGGAUCUAUAUAUUUUAGAGGGAAAAAGUAAAAACACGGCCACAAAUUUUAUAUAUAAUAGAGAUGUCAGUUGUUUAUAGAAGCAUGCGAACGGUUACUUAUGGUUGAGCGUAGUAGGAACGCAACGGUUGGGCAUGGUAGGAAGUUUGGUUGGUAAAUAUAUAAGGGUAUAAUUGAAGAAUUAUAGUUUCGUCAACUCUUCAUUCUAUCACCAAUUUAAAGAUGGAUCGUACUUACUGGAUGUACCAUACCACACGUACAAGCUCGAUGUUUACGGAUGGCGUUCGAAAUUUUCUUAGGGUUGCCGAAACAAAUCGAUUGAAUAGUGGAAGUGGAUUGAUUUGUUGCCCUUGUACAAUUUGUAAAAAUUUCCAAAGAUUUAACGAUAUCAAAGACAUACAGUUUCAUUUGAAUACACGUGGUUUUAUGCCUAGAUACACAUGUUGGUCAAUGCAUGGGGAAUCACUUACUAACACUAGCACAACGUCAAUCAAUCUAGAUGAUGAUAAUAGGGAGAACAAUGAUUCAAAUAUUGAUGACGAUAAUGACCAUUUUAAUGACCCCAAUGACAACUUAAAUGAAAUGUUUCAUGAUUUAGAGACUAAUAUUGGUGCGGAUGAUCAAGAAAAAUUACAACAA
rnacentral:lncRNA from 1 species